GUGGUAGCGGUAGUGGAGUCAAAUCUGAACCUGUCUAUUAUAGUAGACAAGACGACUGCUCAGGCGUUCACACUAGCCUGAAAAUGGCAACUUUCGUGGCAGGGUGAAAUGUGCAGUAGAGAAGUAGAUAGGGAUGCAGGAGGUCUGGACCAUAUCAAUACAACCAAUAAAUACAAUCAUGAUCAGCAACGCCUGCGAUGAGCUAACGCAAACUCGAUUUCUCGACUACGAAAAAACCCCAUGAAAAAACAGAAAAAGAGGGAUUUAAGACACUUGGCCUACAGGCCAGUGUAAUUAGUAGCUUAUUGUUUGCUGCGCUCGAAUGACGAGCCAGUCAGCCUCAGGUUUCGCAGCUCCAGGUUCGAUUUCAACCUAGAGCUGGAACGACUAGUUUGUAAAUAAACUGCUUUGGCCGCUUAACCACUAAUGGAAAUCCAAUUUUUUUGAAAGACCAUUUUUUCUUGUCAUAUUCCUUAGUACGUGAUGGAAAAUGAAAACAUUCCGUUCCGUUCGUCCAUGGUAGCUUGUGAAAGAUCACUGUUUUUUCUGACAAAGGGGCUGGUCAGCGGUGGGGUAGAUCGCAAAGCUCGUUUAAA
rnacentral:lncRNA from 1 species